ACGACGACGCAUUCUUAUUUGUUUUUGUUUUUCUAUCUUUAUUGGCUUGAUUAAUAGUCUUUUUUCAAUGUUUACAGUUGAAUAAAUUAUAUAUAGAAUGUCGAAAACAAAAUCAAAGGACUUCCGGAGCAUAUCAAAACGGCAUUGGAAGCGACUUUGCAAAGCAGAAAUAGAAAAGGGCAAAAACGACUUCGCACCUUCGAGCUCUUUAGUUUCUGUGCUGGAAGAAAAACAAUCGUCCAACUACCAGCUUGGGAUUCAGGAAUCAAAUACAGUGGAAUCAUUGGCGGACUUAUCAUUAGAAAAUCAUUCGGAAUCAAUUGCCGUUGUCUCCCGUUCACUCGAUCUCACACGUGAUACAACGAUUAAUGUUGAAAUUGAAUCGACGAGUGAUAAAAAUAUUUAUUUCACGGGGAAUGCUAGAGAGAACGAGAUCAAUCUCGACAUAGCUACUGAGUUGCGGCAAUGGGUCGCAGAAUCCAGGGUUUCAAAAAUAUGGGUGAACCAAUUGUUGAAAAUUUUACGUCGACACGGUCAUGCUCAGUUACCGGCUGAUUACCGAACUUUUCUCGGUACGCCAAGAGCGAUUACCUGUAUUGAUGUGCCACCCGGAAAAUAUCAUCAUUUUGGAAUAGCGGCAGGCUUAAAAACAUCAAUCGAUCGUUAUUUUUCGAAAAAUAAUAUACCCAGCGAAAUAUUAUUCAACGUAAAUAUAGACGGAUUGCCAAUAGCAAAGAGUAGCAGCGAUCAAGUUUGGCCAAUUUUAGGCUGCAUUUGUGCAGAUUGUUAUACUGAACCGUUUGUUAUAGGUAUUUGGGGGGGGAUGGGAAAACCAAAGGAUUUUAAUGAAUAUUUAAACAAUUUCGUUGACGAUGUGAAUGCAAUGCAGCAACAUGGCAUUACCGUAAAUGGCAAAAAGAUCAUUUGUAAAUUGAAUGUCAUCACAAGCGAUGCUCCAGCAAGAUCUUACAUUACGGGGAUAAAAAAUUUCAACGCGUAUCAUGGCUGCAGUAAAUGCAUUGAAGAGGGAAAGUUUAUUAAGAAUCGCUUGACAUUUCCUGAAACAAAUGCAGUAUUGAGGACUGAUCAAUCAUUUUCGGAAAAAACCGACGAAGAUCAUCAUAGAAAAACGUCAGUCUUUGAGAAAAUUCAUGGUUUCGGAAUGGUCAGUCAAUUUCCGCUUGACAUUUUGCAUCUUGCAGAUUUGGGUGUUUUGAAAAAAUUGCUUGUACGUCUUAUCAAAGGAAAAAAAAAUGUUCGAAUGUCAAAGGUGAAUAUAGCUAAAGCCGAUGAAUGUUUAAUUUCGUUAAAACCUUUCAUACCCAAAGAGUUUGCAAGGUACCCCAGAUCUUUGCAUCAUCUUGAUCGGUUCAAAGGCACAGAAUGUCGUCAAAUCUUAUUAUAUACGGGAAUGUUAAUUUUGUUUAACUGCUUAGACCGCACGAAAUACAUACACUUCCUAUGUUUAAGUAUUGCAAUCCGUAUACUGUCACGAAAAGAAUUUAUCGCUCGUUAUUUGGAUUGCGCGAAGCUGUUACUGUCGUAUUAUGUGGAAAAUUAUGGAAAAAUCUAUGGGUCUGAAUACGUAACGUACAAUGUACAUAAUUUAGUACACAUAUGUGAUGACGCUGAACGUUUAGGUCCAUUAGAUUCUUACAGUUGUUUCAAGUUUGAAAGCUAUUUACAAAAGCUCAAAAACAAAGUAAAACCGAAUGGACGAUCUCUAAACCAAAUCGUGAAUCGACUGAUAGAAGAAGCUAAUAUCAUGAACAUCGAAUUAAAAAAAAUUAAUUACCCAAUCGUGAUCUUUUGCAAACAUCGUGACGAACAAUCAAAAAUCAAACUCGUGAAAUCUCUACAGUACGAGAAUUAUUACAUAAGUACCGAACUUGGCAACAAUUGCAUUUCGACAAUUUCCAACACGGUCGUACAGAUUGAAACCAUUACCUCUGAUGAAAAGCAAUCGAUUCUUUUAAUUGGUAAAGAGUUCACAGCAGAGAAACCAUUCUUUGUUACACCGUGCGACUCUACAAUUUUUGGUAUCAAAAUUGUGGAAGAUGCAAAAUACGAAAAUAUUACUAUUUCUUCAGUAAAUAUGGCAGGAAAGUGCAUACGAUUUCCCAUGAGCAAUGGAGAAAGUCUUAUUAUUCCUUUAGUCCAUUAAUGAAGCAAAUAUAUCAGUAUAGACCGAAAUUUUCAUAAUGGUUAAACAGGGGUUCAACAGAGAUCGUACUAGUGCUUUUAUAAAUAUUUUUCAUUAAUCAUAUUAUCACAUGGUAUACCAAGCAAAGCGAUAAAACAUUUUUCAAAUAACUACGGAAUAAUUACGUGGUUGACUACCGAGAGCGCUGAGGUCGUUUCUGACCGCAACGUACAACGAUUUCGAUACAACGAACAAGAAAAAGCGCGGUAUACCGGCAGUAACACGGCGCACGAGGCAUCGUUACAGUAAGUCCUACCUCCAGACAAUUUUGGUAAGAUACAUGAAUUUAAUUUAUUAAUUAAUGAUUAAUAACAUUGCAUCUGAUUCCUUUUGAAUUCAGUGACUUAUUUUUCAUCAUUUCUUGGAUUAUUGAAGUGGAAAAAAUCCUAACCAAUAUUUAUCGAUAAGCUUAUAUGAAGCCACGGUUUGGCGUCAAAAUGUCUUAUCUCAGCAAUUUUAUUCAUUUCAAGAAAGUGAAAAAAACGAUGGCGUCAUACGCAGUUGUUUGUUUUCUAAAUGAGGAUGGUAUGGAAGGAGAGGAGUCGGCAUCCGAAGUUCCAUUGUGCUGGUUAACGCAGGACCAAAAAAAAUGUUGGUGGCUAAAUACGAAAAAUGUAGGACCACUCAUUGCUAAAAGAACUAUUCCCGACGAGACCGAUAAAAAAUGGCAGCUACAUGAUAUCAAAUGCUUGGGGUUUUACGAUAAUAUUUCAAGUGCUCGGCAAAAAGCAGAUGGCUUCUCAAGUUGCGAUGAAACCCCUACAACUUUCAUUCAAACACAGAAAAAAAGUACUUUGGUGACAAUUAAAGAAGAAAAAAACAGUACCGUUGCAGGAAAAGGAAAGCGAAAGGCUUCUUUAGUGCAAAAAAAAAAAGAUGAAUCUGAUAGUGAUCAGAAUGGAAUUCCACUUCCACCGAAUUUGGAAAACAUUAUCAACGAGGCCGCAAAACCUCAAGAUAUAACUCUAAACAAAAAAAGCCGAGGUAUUACAGUGACGAGCGAUAUCCCGGUUACAUUCAACUUGAAUAGGACAUCGGGAAUAUUGAGUUUCGCGAAUUAAUUUUCGGGUUUUUGCGAUUUUAAUAAAAAACAGAUUUUUCUUUGUACACUUUAAAAUUCGAAAAUUGAGAAACUUAAAAUUUCUCAGACAGAGAAUUUGCAACGUUUUCGGGUCUUUCGGGUCAUUCUCUGGCCUGAUCCGGUAAAACAACGCAAAGCAAUAUAAAAACAAAAACACCAAACUGUUUAAAUCAUCAAAAGCAUUCGCGAGGCUUUUUAUUUUUGUCAAAGAUCGAUCAGUUAUUUGAAUAAAUUUGAUUAUUUUAAUUUUCCACAAGAA
rnacentral:misc_RNA from 1 species